rnacentral:rRNA from 1 species
UCGGGAAUUUUGGGCAAUGGGCGAAAGCCUGACCCAGCAACGCCGCGUGAAGGAUGAAGUAUUUCGGUAUGUAAACUUCGAAAGAAUAGGAAGAAUAAAUGACGGUACUAUUUAUAAGGUCCGGCUAACUACGUGCCAGCAGCCGCGGUAAUACGUAGGGACCAAGCGUUGUUCGGAUUUACUGGGCGUAAAGGGCGCGUAGGCGGCAAUUCAAGUCAUCUGUGAAAUCUCCGGGCUUAACUCGGAACGGUCAGAUGAUACUGCUUUGCUAGAGUGCAGAAGGGGCAAUCGGAAUUCUUGGUGUAGCGGUGAAAUGCGUAGAUAUCAAGAGGAACACCUGAGGUGAAGACGGGUUGCUGGGCUGACACUGACGCUGAGGCGCGAAAGCCAGGGGAACAAACAGGAUUAGAUACCCCAGUAGUCCCUGAGCGGGCUGGCAAGGCGCAU